rnacentral:rRNA from 1 species
UGAACCAGUACCGUGAGGGAAAGGUGAAAAGAACCCCGGGAGGGGAGUGAAAGAGAACCUGAAACCCUGUGUCUACAAGCUGCGGAAGAGCGACUAACGCUCGACCGUGUACUUUUUGUAGAACGGUCCGGCGAGUUGCCGUUGCUGGCAGGUUAAGUACUUAAGGUACGGAGCCGAAGGGAAACCAAGUCUUAAUAGGGCGGUAAGUCAGUAACGGCAGACCCGAAACCGGGUGACCUACCCAUGGCCAGGAUGAAGUCUGCGUAAAAGUGGAUGGAGGUCCGAACACACGUCUGUUGAAAAAGGCGGUGAUGAGCUGUGGGUAGCGGAGAAAUUCCAAUCGAACUCGGAGAUAGCUGGUUCUCCCCGAAAUAGCUUUAGGGCUAGCCUCGGUAUAGUCUAAUGGAGGUAGAGCACUGAAUCGCUGCGGGGGCGUCAAAGUCUACCAAUGCGUAUCAAACUCCGAAUGCCAUAUAGAUGUUUACCGGGAGUCAGACUGUAUGAGAUAAGUCGGACAGUCAAAAGGGAAACAGCCCAGACCAUCUGCUAAGGUCCCAAAGUGUAUGUUAAGUGGUAAAGGAUGUGGGGUUUCGAAGACAACUAGGAUGUUGGCUCAGAAGCAGCCAUUCAUUCAAAGAGUGCGUAAUAGCUCACUAGUCGAGAGGUCCUGCGCCGAAAAUGUCCGGGGCUGAAACAUAACACCGAAGCAAUGGAAUAUACCGUAAGGUAUGUUGGUAGGGGAGCAUUGAUAACACGAAGAAGCGGUACCGUAAGGAGCCGUGGAGAGUUAUCAAGAGAGAAUGCCGGAAUGAGUAGCGAGAUGAAGGUGAGAAUCCUUCAGGCCGUAUAUCCAAGGUUUCCAGGGUAAAGCUGAUCUUCCCUGGGGAAGUCGGGACCUAAGCUCAGGCUGAGAAGCGUAGGCGAUGGACAACUGGUUGAUAUUCCAGUACCUCUGGCUAUCAGAAAUGUGGGGACACGGAGAUUCAGGGAGUGCCUGUAAAGGAUUCAGGUGCAAGCAUGGUUUAUGCCGGGCAGGCAAAUCCGUCCGGGUAAGUGAACUGUGUGAUGCGGACCGAAAUAUAAGUAGGGAAGCUCCUGGGAGAGCCGUCGAGAAAAGCCGCUAUUGUGUAGUCAGAGCCCGUACCGUAAACCGACACAGGUGGAUGGGGAGAGUAUCCCAAGGCCGGCGGGAGAAGCAUUGUUAAGGAACUCGGCAAAAUGGCCCCGUAAGUUCGCGAUAAGGGGUGCCUGUAGAGAUACAGGCCGCAGAGAAUAGGCUCAAGCAACUGUUUAGCAAAAACACAGGUCUAUGCGAAACCGUAAGGUGAUGUAUAUGGGCUGACGCCUGCCCGGUGCUGGAAGGUUACGGGGAGUGCUUAGGAGUAAUCCGAAGGUACGAACUUAAGCCCCAGUAAACGGCGGCCGUAACUAUAACGGUCCUAAGGUAGCGAAAUUCCUUGUCGGGUAAGUUCCGACCCGCACGAAAGGCGUAAUGAUUUGAGCGCUGUCUCAACAAUGCACCCGGUGAAAUUGAAGUACCAGUGAAGAUGCUGGUUACCUGCGCCAAGACGGAAAGACCCCAUGGAGCUUUACUCCAUCUUGGUACUGGGAUUAGAUAUAUGAUGUACAGGAUAGGUGGGAGACUAAGAAGCAGGGACGCCAGUUUCUGCGGAGUCAAUGUUGGGAUACCACCCUUCGUGUAUCUGGUUUCUAACCUUUGCCCGUUAUCCGGGCAGGGGACAAUGCCAGGAGGGGAGUUUGACUGGGGCGGUCGCCUCCGAAAGUGUAUCGGAGGCGCUCAAAGGU